rnacentral:lncRNA from 1 species
CCACCAGAGCCAGCAGCUGCUCGGGGGGGGCCCCGCGCCCCAAAAGGGACCCCCCGCACCCCAAAAGGGACCCCCCGGGCUCGGGGGAUUCACCCCCCGACAGGGAACCCUCGGAGUCGGAGCCCGAGGGAGGAGCGGCCUCGUCCCCUGAAAGGGACCCGUCCAGGGAGGGGUCUCUGUCCCCCAAAAGGGACCCCUCAGACCCCAAAUGGGACCCCUCGGACCCCAAAUGGGACCCCAAAAGAGACCCCUCGGACCCCAAAUGGGACCCCAAAAGAGACCCCUCGGACCCCAAAAGGGACCCCUCGGACCCCAAAUGGGACACCUCAGACCCCAAAACAGACCCUCUAUCCCCCAAAAUGCACCCCUCGGACCCCAAAAUGCACCCCUCAGACCCCAAAACGGACCCCCUGGACCCCAAAUGGGACCCGUUGUCCCCCAAAAGGGACCCCCCAGACCCCAAAAGGGACCCCUUUAUGGGGGGGUCCUUGUCCCCCAAACGGGACCCAUUGGGAGGGGGGUCCCCAUCCCCCAGCAGGGUCCCCUGCCUCUGGGGGUCCCCAUUUGGGGUCUCCGGGCUCUGGGGGUCCCCAUUUGGGGUCUCCCGGUUUUGGGGGUCCCCGUCCUGGCCCCCCAGCUCCAGGUGCAGGUCGAGGUCGCAGCCGUGGACGUCGAAGCCGUUGACGGAGGAGCCGUAGGGGACAACGGAGCAGCCUGGGGGGGACACGGGGACAGGUGGGGAUGGGGGAGGACAGGUGGGGGACACACCUGGACACACCUGGGACACGUCACACACACCUGGAGCACACCUGGACACACCUGGGACACGUCACACACACCUGGAGCACACCUGGGACACGUCACACACA